CCUACGGGGGGCAGCAGUGGGGAAUAUUGGACAAUGGGCGAAAGCCUGAUCCAGCCAUGCCGCGUGUGUGAAGAAGGCCUUCGGGUUGUAAAGCACUUUCAGUGGGGAAGAAAGCCUUGGGGCUAAUACCCUCGAGGAAGGACAUCACCCACAGAAGAAGCACCGGCUAACUCCGUGCCAGCAGCCGCGGUAAUACGGAGGGUGCGAGCGUUAAUCGGAAUUACUGGGCGUAAAGCGCGCGUAGGCGGUCUGAUAAGCCGGUUGUGAAAGCCCCGGGCUCAACCUGGGAACGGCAUCCGGAACUGUCAGGCUAGAGUGCAGGAGAGGAAGGUAGAAUUCCCGGUGUAGCGGUGAAAUGCGUAGAGAGCGGGAGGAAUACCAGUGGCGAAGGCGGCCUUCUGGACUGACACUGACGCUGAGGUGCGAAAGCGUGGGUAGCAAACAGGAUUAGAUACCCCGGUAGUC
rnacentral:rRNA from 1 species